rnacentral:rRNA from 1 species
CCUACGGGAGGCAGCAGUGGGGAAUUUUGGACAAUGGGCGAAAGCCUGAUCCAGCAAUGCCGCGUGUGGGAAGAAGGCCUUCGGGUUGUAAACCACUUUUGUACGGAACGAAACGGCUCGCUUUAAUACAGUGGGCUAAUGACGGUACCGUAAGAAUAAGCACCGGCUAACUACGUGCCAGCAGCCGCGGUAAUGCGUAGGGUGCGAGCGUUAAUCGGAAUUACUGGGCGUAAAGCGUGCGCAGGCGGUUAUAUAAGACAGUUGUGAAAUCCCCGGGCUCAACCUGGGAAUUGCAUCUGUGACUGUAUAGCUAGAGUACGGUAGAGGGGGAUGGAAUUCCGCGUGUAGCAGUGAAAUGCGUAGAUAUGCGGAGGAACACCGAUGGCGAAGGCAAUCCCCUGGACCUGUACUGACGCUCAUGCACGAAAGCGUGGGGAGCAAACAGGAUUAGAUACCCUGGUAGUCCACGCCCUAAACGAUGUCAACUGGUUGUUGGGUGNAUUAGUACUCAGUAACGAAGACUACGCGUGAGUAGACCGCCGUGGGAGGUACGGCCGCGAGGUUAGAACGUACAAGUAGAAGUUAGUACGGCGUGAGACGUAGCCGACGGACGACGACGAGGGAGGAGGG